AGCAGUGGGGAAUAUUGGACAAUGGGCGAAAGCCUGAUCCAGCCAUGCCGCGUGUGUGAAGAAGGCCCUCGGGUUGUAAAGCACUUUCAGCGAGGAAGAACGCAUAGUGGUUWAUACCCAUUAGGAAAGACAUCAMUCGCAGAAGAAGCACCGGCUAACUYCGUKCCAGCAGCCGCGGUAAUACGGAGGGUGCAAGCGUUAAUUGGAAUUACUGGGCGUAAAGCGCGCGUAGGUGGSUUGAUWAGCCGGUUGUGAAAGCCCCGGGCUCAACCUGGGAACGGCAUCCGGAACUGUCAAGCUAGAGUGCAGGAGAGGAAGGURGAAUUACCGGUGUAGCGGUGAAAURHGUAGAGAUCKGGAGGAAUACCAGUGGCGAAGGCGGCCUUCUGGWMWRACAAURACACUGAGGUGGGAAAGCGUGGGUAGCAAACAAGAUUAGAUACCCUGGUAGUCCCCCCCGUAAUCGAUGUCGACCAGCCGUUGGGUGCCUAGCGCACUUUGUGGCGAAGUUAACAC
rnacentral:rRNA from 1 species